rnacentral:rRNA from 1 species
GAUGAACGCUAGCGGGAGGCCUAACACAUGCAAGCCGAGCGGUAGAGUUCUUUCGGGAACUUGAGAGCGGCGUACGGGUGCGUAACACGUGUGCAACCUACCUUUAUCUGGGGGAUAGCCUUUCGAAAGGAAGAUUAAUACCCCAUAAUAUAAUGAUUGGCAUCAAUUAUUAUUGAAAACUCCGGUGGAUAGAGAUGGGCACGCGCAAGAUUGGAUAGUUGGUGAGGUAACGGCUCACCAAGUCAAUGAUCUUUAGGGGUCCUGAGAGGGAGAUCCCCCAGACUGGUGCUGAGACACAGACCAGACUGCUACGGGAGGCAGGAGUAAGGUAUAGUGGACGAUGGGUGAAAGCCUGAUCCAGCCGUCCCGCGUGAAGAAUGACGGUCCUAUGAAAUGUAUACUUCUUUUGUACAGGGAUAAACCUACUCUCGUGAGGGUAGCUGAAGGUACUGUACGAAUAAGCACCGGCUAACUCCGUG